AUUGAACGCUGGCGGCGUGGAUUAGGCAUGCAAGUCGAGCGAGAACCUUCAGCAAUGGAGGGGAAAGCGGCGAAAGGGAGAGUAACGCGUGGAUCAUCUACCCUCGGGUCUGGGAUAGCCGCGGGAAACCGCGGGUAAUACCGGAUAACGUCCCUGGACCAAAGGUGCGAUUCCGCCUGAGGAUGAGUCCGCGUCCUAUCAGCUUGUUGGCGGGGUAACGGCCCACCAAGGCGACGACGGGUACUGGGUGUGAGAGCACGACCCAGCUCACUGGGACUGAGACACUGCCCGGACACCUACGGGUGGCUGCAGUCGAGGAUCUUCGGCAAUGGGCGCAAGCCUGACCGAGCGAUGCCGCGUGCGGGAUGAAGGCCUUCGGGUUGUAAACCGCUGUCAGUGGGGAGGAAAUGCGCGGGGGUUCUCCCUCGCGUUUGACCUAUCCGCAGAGGAAGUACGGGCUAAGUUCGUGCCAGCAGCCGCGGUAACAC
rnacentral:rRNA from 1 species